GACGAACGCUGGCGGCGUGCUUAACACAUGCAAGUCGAACGGAAAGGCCCUGCUUUUGUGGGGUGCUCGAGUGGCGAACGGGUGAGUAGCACGUGAGUAACCUGCCCUUGACUUUGGGAUAACUUCAGGAAACUGGGGCUAAUACCGGAUAGGAGCUCCUGCUGCAUGGUGGGGGUUGGAAAGUUUCGGCGGUUGGGGAUGGACUCGCGGCUUAUCAGCUUGUUGGUGGGGUAGUGGCUUACCAAGGCUUUGACGGGUAGCCGGCCUGAGAGGGUGACCGGCCACAUUGGGACUGAGAUACGGCCCAGACGCCUACGGGAGGCAGCGGUGGGAAAUAUUGCACAAUGGGCGGAGGCCGGAUGCAGCAACGCCGCGUGCGGGAUGACGGCCUUCGGGUGGUAAACCGCUUUCGCCUGUGACGAAGCGUGAGGGACGGUAAUGGGUAAAGAAGCACCGGCUAACUACGU
rnacentral:rRNA from 1 species